rnacentral:rRNA from 1 species
GACGAACGCUGGCGGCGUGCUUAACACAUGCAAGUCGAGCGGUAAGGCCCUUUCGGGGGUACACGAGCGGCGAACGGGUGAGUAACACGUGGGUGACCUGCCCUCAGCUCUGGGAUAAGCCUGGGAAACCGGGUCUAAUACUGGAUAUGACUCCAUGACGCAUGUUGUGGGGUGGAAAGCCUUGUGCGGCUGAGGAUGGGCCCGCGGCCUAUCAGCUUGUUGGUGGGGUGAUGGCCUACCAAGGCGACGACGGGUAGCCGGCCUGAGAGGGCGACCGGCCACACUGGGACUGAGACAC